AUGAACGCUGGCGGCGUGCUUAACACAUGCAAGUCGAACGAAGCACCUUGAUUCGAUUCUUCGGAUGAAGAUCUUGGUGACUGAGUGGCGGACGGGUGAGUAACGCGUGGGUAACCUGCCUCAUACAGGGGGAUAACAGUUAGAAAUGACUGCUAAUACCGCAUAAGACCACAGCACCGCAUGGUGCAGGGGUAAAAACUACGGUGGUAUGAGAUGGACCCGCGUCUGAUUAGGUAGUUGGUGGGGUAACGGCCUACCAAGCCGACGAUCAGUAGCCGACCUGAGAGGGUGACCGGCCACAUUGGGACUGAGACACGGCCCAAACUCCUACGGGAGGCAGCAGUGGGGAAUAUUGCACAAUGGGGGAAACCCUGAUGCAGCGACGCCGCGUGAGCGAUGAAGUAUUUCGGUAUGUAAAGCUCUAUCAGCAGGGAAGAAAAUGACGGUACCUGACUAAGAAGCACCGGCUAAAUACGUG
rnacentral:rRNA from 1 species